UACGAAGGGGGCUAGCGUUGCUCGGAAUCACUGGGCGUAAAGCGCACGUAGGCGGAUUGUUAAGUCAGGGGUGAAAUCCUGGAGCUCAACUCCAGAACUGCCUUUGAUACUGGCAAUCUCGAGUUCGGGAGAGGUGAGUGGAACUGCGAGUGUAGAGGUGAAAUUCGUAGAUAUUCGCAAGAACACCAGUGGCGAAGGCGGCUCACUGGCCCGGUACUGACGCUGAGGUGCGAAAGCGUGGGGAGCAAACAGGG
rnacentral:rRNA from 1 species